GGCGAGUGGCGAACGGGUGAGUAAUGCAUCGGAACGUACCGUGUAAUGGGGGAUAACGUAGCGAAAGUUACGCUAAUACCGCAUACGCCCUGAGGGGGAAAGCGGGGGGAUCGCAAGACCUCGCGUUAUACGAGCGGCCGAUGUCGGAUUAGCUAGUUGGUGGGGUAAAGGCCCACCAAGGCGACGAUCCGUAGCGGGUCUGAGAGGAUGAUCCGCCACACUGGGACUGAGACACGGCCCAGACUCCUACGGGAGGCAGCAGUGGGGAAUUUUGGACAAUGGGGGCAACCCUGAUCCAGCCAUGCCGCGUGCGGGAAGAAGGCCUUCGGGUUGUAAACCGCUUUCGGACGGAAAGAAAUCGCAUGGGUUAAUACCCUGUGUGGAUGACGGUACCGUAAGAAGAAGCACCGGCUAACUACGUG
rnacentral:rRNA from 1 species